UGCUUGUGUCCUCCUGCAGAAGGGAGCUGGAACAGUUCUGGCACUGCUGGCUCACCGUGUCUUCCAUCCACCCUGUGUGCCGUGAGAGUAAACGUCAGAGGCAAGACGCGAAUGCCCUUCAGUGAGUCAUCUCUGGGUGGUCCUGCUCACUGAUUUGGGAUCUAACUAAUCUUUAAGCAGUGUUCUCCUCACCCGUAAUUUUCAAAUCAGAGCCUAAAUCUCACAGACAUGCAGGCAAUGGAACAGCAGCGUCUCUGUCUGCAAGGUGGUCUGCUAUGCAGUUAUGAUCACUCUGGUGGCCUUGGCGAACCUGGCCAGCAUGGCACUGACCAUCACCAUUCGGAGAGACUGGGUUGUGAGCCAGGUGACAGCAGAGGCCAGCUGGCUGGUGAGCUGUGCCACCCCAAGACACAACGGAGCAUCACAGCUUCUCUAAUCUGCUGAGAAGUAGGUCUGGUGUGGUGAAUAGAGUUUGGGUGCUCUGAGAAAUGCAGUACUGUAGCCUUUAAGAGAACGUAUUUGGGAGUUCCUUUUGUGGCUCAGUGGGUUAAGAACCCAUUAGUAUCCAUGAGGAUGCAGGUUUGAUUCCUGGCCUCACUCAGUGGGUUAGGGAUCCGGCAUUGCCACAAGCUGUGGUAUAGGUUGCAGAUGCAGCUUGGAUCUGGCAUGGCUGUGGUGUAGGCCAGUGGCUGCAACUUUGAUUCAGCCCCUAUCCUGGGAACUUCUAUAUGCUGUAGGUGAAGCCCUAAAAAGCAAAAAGAAAAAAAAAAGAAAAGAGAGAGAAAGAAGGUAUUUGGAGUCAAAGAGACCUGGAUUUGAAUCCAGCCAAAACCAACUACGGCAAGUUAACUAACCAGCUGCAAGUUAACUAACUUCCCUAGACUUUACUUUGCUCAUCUGUAGAAUGGGGAAAUUAUGACAACCCCCCACCUUGCCAUCACUCAGUUUGGGGAAGGCUUCUGUGAGAUAGGGGAUUUGUGAAGCACUUAGCAUUGUAUCUGCAUGUAGGAAGCACAGAAGAAAUGGAUGAUGCCAUUAUUAUCAAAAAGAUGUACAGAGUGUACUUUGGGGAGAGGAGCCCCUUUGAAUAUAUUACAGAGGUUCUUUUUGGUAAUUUUAGAGUUGGAAAAUAAAUUACAAGAUUUCUUAAUUCUGGCCA
rnacentral:lncRNA from 1 species